UUGAAAGUGGAUCUAGGAUAGAGGGUUUUGCAGUCUGCAGAAUUACAAACCCAGACAGCACAAUGAAGAACUACCUUGCACGACUCUUCAUCAUUGUCUCAUUUCUCAAAUACAGUUGUGAAGACACAGUGGAACAACCCGUUCCUGAAAUGACGGUUGAGGAAGGAAAUAAUGUUAUACUCACAUGCAACUUUAAGACAAGUGAUCUUAAUCCUUAUGUUUUCUGGUACAGUCAACCCGCAGGACAGCCUCCGCAAUAUCUACUUUACAUGAUUACAGCUGGGACUGUAAACAGGAAUCCUGAAUUGUCUGAUCGUUUUUCUUUGACAUUUGAGAAAACUACAAAGAAAACCAAUUUAACGAUCAACAAGGCCUUCGUCUCUGACUCUGCUGUGUAUUUCUGUGCAAUGAGACCCACACUGAUGCAGACAGAUGGCAUGGCCCGUACAAAAACUCACUCUCAGACUUCCAAUUAG